AUUAUUGGAAAUGAAAUGUUAUUCGUUUAUAAAGAUAUCUAGUUUUUUUAGAAAUAAAUUUAAUUUAAAAGUUUUUAAUUUUAUUAAUUAAUUAUAUUAAUUAAUAAGUUUAAAAAUUUUAAUAUUUUAAGGGAUAAGCUUUAAAAUAAAUUUUUAUAAAUUAAUAAAUAAUAAUUAAAAUUAUAUACAUAGAAUUAGUAAUUAUUAAAAAAUUUGUUAUAAAUUAUUUUAUAAAAUAUAUUAUUUAUUAUAAUUUUAAAUUUUUAUAAAAAUAUUUUUUAAAAUUUUAUAUAAAAAGUAAUAAUGAUAAAAUUAGUAUAUAUAUAUAUGUAAAUAUAAUUUAUUUUGAUAAGUUUAUAUAAAGAACUCGGCAAAUAUUUUACUCGCCUGUUUAACAAAAACAUGUCUUUUUGAGUUUUUUUUAAAGUCUAACCUGCCCAAUGAAUAAUUUAAUGGCCGCAGUAUUUUGACUGUGCAAAGGUAGCAUAAUCAUUAGUCUUUUAAUUGAAGGCUUGAAUGAAUGGUUGGACGAAGUAUAAUCUGUUUCAUUUAAAUUUAUUAUAGAAUUUUAUAUUUUAGUAAAAAAGCUAAAAUAUUUUUAAAAGACGAGAAGACCCUAUAAAUCUUUAUAAUUUAAAUUAUUUUUAUUUUUUAUAUUUAUUUUAUUUAAAUAAUUUAAAUUAUUUUGUUGGGGUGAUAUUAAAAUUUAAUAAACUUUUAAUUUAAUUAUUUCAUAAAUUUAUGUUUUAUUGAUCCAUUAAUAAUGAUUAAAAGAAUAAGUUACUUUAGGGAUAACAGCGUAAUUUUUUUGGAGAGUUCUUAUUGAUAAAAAAGUUUGCGACCUCGAUGUUGGAUUAAGAUAUAAUUUUAGGUGUA
rnacentral:rRNA from 1 species